GAUGAACGCUGGCGGCGUGCCUAAUACAUGCAAGUCGAGCGAACAGACGAGGAGCUUGCUCCUGGCUUGAGCGGCGGACGGGUGAGUAAUGCCUAGGAAUCUGCCUGGUAGUGGGGGGUAACGUCCGGAAACGGGCGCUAAUACCGCAUACGUCCUGAGUGAGACAGUGUGGGGUCUUCGGACCUCACGCUAUCAGAUGAGCCUAGGUCGGAUUAGCUAGUUGGUGGGUAAAGGCCUACCAAGACGACGAUCCGUAACUGGUCUGAGAGGAUGAUCAGUCACACUGGAACUGAGACGCGGUCCAGAGUCCUACGGGAGGCAGCAGUCGGGAAUAUUGGACAAAGGGCGAAAGCCUGAUCCAGUCAGGCCGCGUGUGUGAAGAAGGUCUUCGGAUUGUAAAGAACUCUAAGUUGGGAGGAAGGGCAGUAAGCUAAUACCUUGCUGUUUUGACGUUACCAACAGAAUAAGCACCGGCUAACUUCGUG
rnacentral:rRNA from 1 species